rnacentral:tRNA from 1 species
GCAGUAGUGGUUCAGUGGUAGAAUUCUUGGCUUUUAUGCAGAAGACCUGGGUUCAAUUCCUGGCAACUGUG